AUGGUGCAAGCCGCACCCAGCUCCGCCACCGCCACCGCCACCGCCGCCCCCGUCCCCGACGCCGACCCCGCCACCCCGCCGUCCCGUCUCCUCUCGAAACAUCGCCCGCGACGCCGUGCAGCGCCCCCCCGCCCGACCUUGCCGCACCCCGCGCCCACGCGCGGCCUCCCCGAUCUGAACCGCUGCCACUGCUGCUCCGUUCGCUUCCAGCAGCCGGCGCCGGGCGCCAAGCGACGUCCACUCCGUCCCCUCCGCUCCCUCUGGCGCGUCGUCCUCCUCUGCUCUGAAUGUAUCUCCCUCCUUCGCUCUGGCGCCGUCUGCUCCUACUGCCUCAACCUGGACAACCUGCCGCAUGAUGACUCAGCCACCUGCCGCAGCUGCAAUUGCUGCGUCCACCGCCACUGCAUCCCCGCUGAGCACCGUACUGCCCUGAUCCAGCCUGUAGAUUUGGAGAAUUUCGUCUGCGUCGAUUGCUGCCCUACAGUAAAGGUGGGUAGCAAGAAUGUGGGCGCCGAAUCUGUUCCUAAGCUGGAGUUGGUCAUCAGAGAGCCUAGUCCUGCAGUGCGGAGGAAGGGGGGGCCUGUCGCUGCUGCUAAGUUGAAUUCGCCGAGGAAGGUUGUGGAGGAGGUGAGGCCAGCUUGGAAGGAUGCGAUGGCCCUCGUUCCUGUAGGCGAGGAGUCAGAGAGCAAGGGUCCCAGUGAUCCGGACCUGCCAGACGAGGCAUUGGCGCUGCAGCUUCAUUUGGCGAUCAACGGGUCACCGAGGAUUUCACGUUCUGGCAGUGCAUCUGUGUCUGUCUUGGCAGGGCAGGGCAAGAGGCAGGGCAAGAGGCAGAAUGGAUUGGUUUAUGGAAGGAAGGUUAAUGAGGAUCUGGGACUUUGUGUAACCAAUAUGAUGGAUCAUCUGGACUAUCUUGAGACCGGAGCAGAGAUGGGAAGCAACUGGAAUGCUAGUCAGGAUUUAGGAUCUGAUCCCACAGCCCCUGUGGUUCUUGCACUGGAGUGUAAAGGUAAACGCCCUCAGGAGAGUCUGAGAGGUGAAAGGAAAGGUCUUCCUGAGACUAAACAACAUAAUAGUUUGGUGGAUUGGCAUAAGGUGGAUCGGUAUGAGAAGAAGUAUAGCAAGAGGAAAUCAAGUAAGCAGACAGAUGUUGAAAGCACGGGAAACAAGACCUUGCCCAAUGGAAAGGACAUGGAUGUUGGUGAAGGUGGUGAGGGCAUAACUCCUAUGACAUAG
rnacentral:rRNA from 1 species